rnacentral:rRNA from 1 species
AUUGAACGCUGGCGGCAGGCCUAACACAUGCAAGUCGAGCGGAGCGGCUGACGGGCGAGUAAUUCCUAUCAAUCUGCCUGCCAGUGGGGGAUAACUUCCUGCUACGGGCGCUAACUCCUCCUACUAGCAGUCGAACCUAGCUCGGAUUAGCUAGUUGGUGGGUUAAAGGCCUACCAAGGCGACGAUCCGUAACUGGUCUGAGAGGAUGAUCAGUCACACUGGAACUGAGACACGGUCCAGACUCCUACGGGAGGCAGCAGUGGGGAAUAUUGGACAAUGGGCGAAAGCCUGAUGCAGCCAUGCCGCGUGUGUGAAGAAGGUCUUCGGAUUGUAAAGCACUUUAAGUUGGGAGGCGUUACCAACAGAAUAAGCACCGGCUAACUUCGUGCCAGCAGCCGCGGUAAUUC